GGGUUGUUGGUCUAGAGGUAUGAUUCUCGCUUUGGGUUGCACUCAGCAUGCGAGAGGUCCCGGGUUCAAUCCCCGGACAGCCCC